CUCAGUAGUUUACUACUGUAAAGGGGGCUGUCAGUCUGUAUAGCGCAAGCUGAUGAGCAGCUGGCCUCUUUUAUCACCCUUGUCUUUUGCGUACCCACGUUUCCUCGGUAGGCUUGCCUGCCGAUUGGACAAACCUUUAACCUUUUUAAUUUUCAAUCAGCGUCUGAAAAACUUAAUAAUUACAACUUUCAACAACGGAUCUCUUGGUUCU
rnacentral:misc_RNA from 1 species